GACGAACGCUGGCGGCGUGCUUAACACAUGCAAGUCGAACGGAAAGGCCUCUUUCGGGGGGUACUCGAGUGGCGAACGGGUGAGUAACACGUGAGUAACCUGCCCUUGACUUUGGGAUAACUUCAGGAAACUGGGGCUAAUACCGGAUAGGAGCUCCUGCUGCAUGGUGGGGGUUGGAAAGUUUCGGCGGUUGGGGAUGGACUCGCGGCUUAUCAGCUUGUUGGUGGGGUAGUGGCUUACCAAGGCUUUGACGGGUAGCCGGCCUGAGAGGGUGACCGGCCACAUAGGGACUGAGAUACGGCCCAGACUCCUACGGGAGGCAGCAGUGGGGAAUAUUGCACAAUGGGUGGAAGCCUGAUGCAGCAACGCCGUGUGCGGGAUGACGGCCUUCGGGUUGUAAACCGCUUUCGCUCAUGACGAAGCUUUGUGUGACGGUAGUGGGUAAAGAAGCACCGGCUAACUACGUG
rnacentral:rRNA from 1 species